UACAGAGGGGGCAAGCGUUAUUCGGAAUUAUUGGGCGUAAAGGGCGCGUAGGGGGCGAUUCAAGUGACGGGUGAAAUCCCUCGGCUUAACCGAGGAACUGCCUGUCAGACUGGAUUGCUUGAGGCCGGGAGAGGCGAGUGGAAUUCCCAGUGUAGCGGUGAAAUGCGUAGAUAUUGGGAGGAACACCAGUGGCGAAGGCGGCUCGCUGGACCGGUUCUGACGCUGAGGCGCGAAAGCGUGGGGAGCAAACAGG
rnacentral:rRNA from 1 species